AUGGUCGGGAAGGUCGG
rnacentral:tRNA from 2 species